rfam:Triticum aestivum genome assembly, contig: Triticum_aestivum_CS42_TGACv1_scaffold_321738_4BL
AAAGUACUCCCUCCGUCCCAAAAUUCUUGUCUUAGAUUUGUCUAGAUACGGAUGUAUCAAGUCACAUUUUAGUAUUAGAUACAUCUGUAUCUAGACAAAUCUAAGACAAGAAAUUUGGGACAGAGGAAGCAGUUG